AGCAGCCGCGGUAAUUCCAGCUCCAAUAGCGUAUAUUAAAGUUGUUGCAGUUAAAAAGCUCGUAGUUGAAUUUCGGGGUUAGUAGGUUGGUCAUGCCUCUGGUGUGUACUGGUCCCACUGAUUCCUCCUUCCUGAUGAGCCGUAAUGCCAUUAAUUUGGUGUUGCGGGGAAUUUGGACUGUUACUUUGAAAAAUUAGAGUGUUUAAAGCAAGCUAACGCUUGAAUACAUUAGCAUGGAAUAAUGAAAUAGGACGUUCGAUCCUAUUUUGUUGGUUUCUAGGAUUGACGUAAUGAUUAAUAGGAUAGUUGGGGCAUUAGUAUUC
rnacentral:rRNA from 1 species